CCCUCCCUCCCUCCCUCCCUCCCUAACACACUCUCUCUUUUGCUCUCGCUCUGAGUCGUGCACAUGCAGACAGAGGGAGAGGGGGGAUGAACGAGGUGCAUUCAUGAGGAUCUCCUGAACUGCUGGGGCAAGGCAGGGCUGGUGAAGAGAGAAGAAGAAGAAGAGGAGGAGAACUAGAGGAAUACUGCAGUGGCCAACCAGCUUCUUUUCCCUUCUGUAUUUCUUUCUCUCUCUCUCUUUUCUCGCUGCUCCACUGCUUCCAUCCCCUUCUCUCUCCCUGUGCCAAUUAUACCAUGAACCUGCCUGCUGCUUGUUGCUAAGGGGAAGCCAGCCAGGGGGAGCCGAGUGGACCGGGCGAUAUUUUGUUGUUAAGGAUUUAGAGAAAAUGGCAGAAGGGUCCAAAGACCAGGGAGGAACGGGCACCGCUGAUCCCGAGGAGGACUCCCCCAAUAUGAUCGUCUACAGAAAGAUUGAAGACAUUGUUACACGAAUCCAAGAUGAGAAAGCAGGAGGUGUAGCCAUACGGACUGUCAAAAGCUUCCUCUCCAAGAUCCCAAGUGUGGUAUCAGGGGCGGACAUUGUUCAGUGGCUGAUGAAAAACCUCUCCAUAGAAGAUCCAGCUGAAGCCAUCCAUCUGGGCAGUUUGAUCGCUGCCCAUGGAUACGUCUUCCCCAUCUCUGACCACGUUCUGACGCUUAAAGAUGACGGAACCCUUUAUCGCUUCCAGUCUCCAUACUUCUGGCCUUCAAACUGUUGGGAACCCGAGAACACAGACUAUGCCAUUUACCUGUGCAAGCGCACGAUGCAGAAUAAAGCCAGGCUUGAGCUCGCUGACUACGAGGCUGAGAACCUCGCCAGGCUGCAGAGGGCUUUCGCCAGGAAGUGGGAAUUUAUCUUCAUGCAAGCUGAGGCUCAAGUCAAGAUUGACAGGAAGAAGGACAAGGCGGAGAGGAAGAUCCUUGACAGCCAGGAGAGAGCAUUUUGGGACGUUCAUCGGCCAGUGCCAGGCUGUGUCAACACCACAGAGAUGGACAUCCGCAAGUGCCGGAGAGAGAAGAACCCACACAGGGUAAAAAAGUCAGUCUAUGGAGUACCAGAUGAUGGCCAGAGCCAACCGAGUCCUGUCCACAUCGGCUCCCAGCCGACCAGGAAGACCACCAAAGACGAUGUUCAGAAGGAGAUUACCUUCUUGAACAUCCAGCUGGAGAGACACUGUAUGAAAGUUUCCAAAGUGGCCGACAGUCUCAUGACCUACACCGAGCAGUUCAUGGAAUAUGACCCCUUUGUAUCAGCUGUAGAGCCUUCGAACCCAUGGAUCAGUGACGACACUACCUUCUGGGACUUGGAGGCAAGUCGCGAACCCACCCAGCAGCGUGUGAAGAAAUGGGGCUUCUCCCUGGAGGAGGCGCUAAAGGACCCAGCAGGUCGAGACCAGUUCCUAAAGUUCCUGGAAUCAGAAUUCAGCUCAGAAAACCUGCGGUUCUGGUUAGCAGUGCAGGAUUUUAAGCGACGGCCACUCCAUGAAGUUCCCUCCAGGGCGCAGGAGAUCUGGCAGGAGUUUCUGGCUGAAGGAGCUCCAAGCUCCAUCAACUUGGACUCUCACAGCUACGAGCGCACCAGCCAGAACCUCAAAGACCCCGGACGAUACAGCUACGAGGACGCUCAGGAGCACAUAUUCAAGCUAAUGAAAAGUGACAGCUAUGCACGCUUUUUGCGAUCCAACAUCUACCAAGACCUCCUGUUGGCCAGAAAGAAGCACAUGCACACGCAUACUAGUCCAGUAUGCAGCUCCCUUCCAAAAGCACUAGGAGAAAAACAAAAGGAAAUAUGCAUUUUCUUUUUUUUUAUUGUUUUGCAGUAACAAAAAAAUUGCAAACGAUUCAGACUGUUUAAAAAAAAAAAAGAAGAAGAAGAAUAUAUGCAUGGGAAACAAACAUAUUCAAACAAGCAACUCAAGGUUUGGGACUUACUGAAGUAUUUGGAUCACAUUGAAAUAAAGUGGGUCAUUUAUUGUCACAUAGCAGCAUUUCACAGCUCUUAAUAAGGUCUUCAAAGCACCGUAAGGCUACAAGCAGAGCCCCAAAAAGGCACAACCACUGUGCCCAAAAUGCAGGUGCAAGGAAACUGCUAAAUUAUUUAAAAUGUCAACGGAACAGUCUUGAAAGAAACAUGAGAUCAUAUGCCAAACACAGACAAACCGCUGUGUAAAAGCGGAACAACAGCCAGCCUGAAAAAUAAACUUACAGAGCACAAGUAUUACCGUGUUAUAUAAAAAUUCUAUGCUACUUUUGUCUGUCUCCUUCAGUGUAACCUUUAAAUCUCAUGUAGCUAAAAUAGACACUCAUUUAGCUGUUUAACUGUAAUGCAGAGCUUUUCAGCAAAUCACAGCUUCUCUGUUCAUGCUAGCCUUUCUGCCCUUUCCCCCUUUGGACACUGCUCCUUGUGCUGGCCUGUCACUGAUCCCACUCCAUUCCCUAAAAAUAAUAAAUGCAACCCCUUGCACUCUCCUUUGGCCCUCAUUUUUUAUUUUUUAUUUUAUUUUGCAAUGCUUGGCCCCCCUUUUUCCCUCACUAACAACAUCACUCCCAACUCCCUCGUCAACACCCAUACCUGACCCAAACACUCACCCUGCUUCCCCCCCUCCAAAACAGCAGCCAGCAGACACUGAACAGGGCCGCCGCACCUCCUUGGAGAAGUUCACCCGCAGUGUGGGCAAGUCAUUGACGGGAAAACGCCUGACAGGCCUGAUGCAGUCAUCCUGACACAGCCUGUGCUGCAGGGGCACAGCCAGACCCUGUCGGGUGGGUGGCUGCCGCACAGGGGCCGGGGCACGGGCACAGACAGUGGAGCUGGGCUGGACAGGGCUGCUGUGGAGGCUCUCAGACACUGCUCCGAGGACUGCUGCCAUAUUGGUAUUGCAGCACUGGGCUUGCUGGGGUGAACACCCCAAAUUGAAACACUGAUGAUGAGACAAUGUCGACAAGGGGAACCUCAGCCAACACACAGCACGGCAUGCAGCGUACAGUACAAGCAAAUGCAGUGCAGGGCUCUUCAUCACUUAGGCGGCAAACUGGUUGUGAGUCUCGAUGAAGCUGAUCAGUUUAUUGUUUUCAGGUUGUUUUAUAUUAAGCGUUAUUAGAAACGAAAAGAACAUCUGCUAAAUAUUCUUUGAUAGGACUGCGGGUAACUCGCCACAACGUUUGCAGUGAUGACUAUCGUCUUAUGAUUUCGGGAUCCAAAAAUAGCUGCAGCCAAUCCUAACUCGGACAUAAAUACAAAGUCUAAGAGGCACAUCAGCACAGACACAAAUCUGUUUUACAUUUGCCUCUGUACUCACACAGCAGCCAGCAAUAAAUAAAGCCUGUCCAGUUUUUUUUGAUUGUUUUGUUUUUAGAAAUAUCCAACCUCUUUUUAUAUCUUUCUAUUAUAUUUGUGUCCUAAGCGAAGCACGUGUCAGUUAAACAGCGAGCACAGCUUUAGCACUGUGAAAAGACGCAGUACAAAGCCUGUAUUCUCCACGCUGAGAGGCAUCUACAAAAUGGAUCUUUAGAGGUAUAACUUUUCAUGCUUCAUUACAUUCCAAAAUUUGACAUAAGGGCUUAAUGUAGCAUUCACACUGCACCGUGGCGUGCUUCAUCCAAACGUCUGUGUUGAGAAUUAAUGUUUCAUUUCUACAACACUGCUCUGUAAUGAGACGCGUGGCGAUGAUGAAUUGCUUCUGGCUGGCAAAUUAUUCAUUUGCUUUGAGAGGUUCAAAAACGUGGCUGUGCAAACAGUUGCAGCGCCGUUUAGUCACAGCCAUACGUACACAGUCACAGGCCAAAUAGCAUCUCCGUUUUGUUUUUUUUUUAGGCUUCUGCUGUAGUAUCAAAGUAUCCAGUGCCAUGGGUCCAUCUAGUGGUGGCUGAACCACAGGACCAGAAACCAGAGUGUUAAAAGACUGAACUGUGCUGUCUUCAUAUCAUGAUAUCAGAACAAGUUGAUCUCCCGUCUUGGAGACGUUACAAGGCCUGCUACUCAAUAUAGGAUCAUUUAUGGUUUAUUGCUUUUUUUUUUUACUGCAUGAAUAUUUUUUAAUCACAAAAUGUUACCUGAUCAUUUGAAAAACAAACAUUUUUUUUGUUGUCUCCACGAAUUAUCUGUCGUGUUUUAAUGACUAUGGGGGGGAAAAAGAAAUAUUUGCAUGCUGGACUAUUAUGGAGUGCUAGGGAAGGAUGGUUGGAUUCUCCAAAGAGGGCACACAGACAGGGACCAGCCCUGCACCGGAGCAACGCUCCUCAGCGAAUCAACAUCUAAGCCCCGAACUGCAACUGGGAACAAUAUUUGACCCUCGAUAGACGACGCACACCGAAGAUAAAAGGCCUCUCUGCUCCACUGUGGCUUCAGACUCCUUCUACAUACAGAAAGUGCUUGGACUGAGGAGAUUAUGGUCUCACAGCUCCCCCAUGAGGCCAGUGACUGCUAUAGAGAUAAACUACGCUGCUGAAUGAGUCAAUCAUCUAUUCUUUUGUAUUAGAGUCGUUGCAAUGCACUGUACAGGUCAUAUUAGUAAUUAUUGUUAACAUAAACCAGUAACCUCGUUGAGUAUAAGGUAGAGAGAUAUGCUUAACUCGAGUCGAUGUACCAAAUGUUAUCCUCAGCACAAGACACAAUGACACUAUGUAUCGAGUGCAUUGUAAAUGUAAAUUGGCUAAAUUUCAUUAACCAAAAGCACACUUUAUUAUGAUAUGGGCACAUUACUAUGCAUGUAACAUAUUCAGGGCAUUUUGUGCUUUUAGUUUCGCAAUCAGCAAGAUAACUACUGGCACUCUGAAACACUCAAGCACCUGCUGUCUAUUCAUGGGUACCAAAUAAUAAAUACUAUGGACCUGUC